rnacentral:rRNA from 1 species
UACGGGGGGAGCAAGCGUUGUUCGGAUUUACUGGGCGUAAAGGGCGCGUAGGCGGCCACCGCAAGUCAGUUGUGAAAGCUCUGGGCUUAACCCAGAAAGGUCAGCUGAUACUGCGGGGCUAGAGUGCAGAAGGGGCAACUGGAAUUCUCGGUGUAGCGGUGAAAUGCGUAGAUAUCGGGAGGAACACCAGUGGCGAAGGCGACUACCUGGCCUGUUCUUGACGCUGAGGCGCGAAAGCUAGGGGAGCAAACGGG